rnacentral:misc_RNA from 1 species
GAUGAAGAACGUAGUGAAAUGCGAUAAGUAAUGUGAAUUGCAGAAUUCAGUGAAUCAUCGAAUCUUUGAACGCACCUUGCGCUCCUUGGUAUUCCGAGGAGCAUGCCUGUUUGAGUGUCAUGAAAUUCUCAACCUUUUCAGCUUUCUUUGUUGAUCAGGCUUGGAUGUGGGAGUAUGCGGGCUUCUCAGAAGUCGGCUCUCCUGAAAUGCAUUAGCGGGACCUUUGUUGCCUGGCUUUGGUGUGAUAAUUAUCUACGCCAUUGUAGUCAAGCAGCUUAAAAUGAGGUUUCAGCUUCUAACCGUCUCCCCUGAGACAACUUUUUGACAAUUUGACCUCAAAUCAGGUAGGACUACCCGCUGAACUUAAGCAUAUCAAAAGCGGAGA